GAAGAGUACGGAAGAGGAUUAGGGCCAAGCAAUAAUAAAAAAAUAAAACCAUCUCGAGAUUAAAGUCAUUAUAUUGCGAGAUUAAACUCGUUAAAUUUCGAGAAAAAAAGUCGAAAUACAAUCUUGAGAAUAAACUCAUUAAAUAUCGAGAAUAAACUCGUUGUGUUUCGAGAAAAAAACUCGUUAAAUUUCGAGAAAAAAAGUCGAAGUACAAUCUUGAGAAUAAACUCAUUACAUUACACGCCAUUAAUGGCAAUGCCGUACGGUUUUAAUUUAUCAUAGCUGUCCAAGUGCCAGAGUGCAUUUGAGUGAAGCCAGCAAUAACCUUGCAUUUGUCCUCUGGUUGUCAUUUCAUGGGCAAAAGCGAGUAGCCUACAUCGCGCAAAUUGGACUGAUUUUUUCUUCUAAAAAGACCUAGCCGCUUGCAAAUUCACUUUAAAGUUCGUGUGCUAAUUAUUAUUGUGUCAUAAUUAGCUAAAGUUGAUAGUAUUUCUUUGUUACUGAAAGAUAUAGGCUAUGCAAUGAACACUGAUCGAAUGCGUUAUUCUCUACAUUUCAUUUCGACUUUUUUUCUCGAAACACAACGACUUUAUUCUCGAAAUUAAAUGAGUUUAUUCUCACGAUUAUUUCGACUAUUUUUCUCGAAAUUUAACGAGUUUUUUUCUCGAAACACAACGACUUUAUUCUCGAAAUUUAAUGAGUUUAUUCUCAAGAUUGUAUUUCGACUUUUUUUCUCGAAAUUUAACGAGUUUAAUCUCGAAACACAACAACGACUUUAUUCUCGAUAUUUAAUGAGUUUAUUCUCAAGAUUGUAUUUCGACUUUUUUUCUCGAAAUUUAACGAGUUUUUUUUUCUCGAAACACAACGACUUUAUUCUCGAAAUUUAAUGAGUUUAUUCUCAAGAUUGUAUUUCGACUUUUUUUCUCGAAAUUUAAUGAGUUUAAUCUCGCAAUAUAAUGACUUUAAUCUCGAGAUGCUUUUAUUUUUUUAUUAUUGCUUGGCCCUAAUCCUCUUCCGUAUUCCCAGUUUUUCCUAGGUUUUUGUUAAUUUUUUUUAGAAUAGCCUCUCUCACACAUUUUUUUUUUUUAAUAGAUUUUUUUUUUUUUUUUUUUUUACUUAUCGAAGUUUGUUCUUUGCAUGACCAUUCCCAGAUUACGCCAGAGCAAAGUGAAGAGAGGUGAAUGCAGACAUUAGGCACAGCGAUCACAUGAUAGAUAUGUGCUUGGGUCGUUCAAAAGUAAAAUAUAGAAUACAUGCAUUUGAUUGGUAGACCAAAUUCAAACAUGGUGCUUUAAUCUCUAAUGGUAAUGCAUGGAAUUUACGGAAAAGCUCCAAUAAAUAAUAGCGCUAAUAAGUGGGGCGUGGUGGG
ensembl:lncRNA